rnacentral:rRNA from 1 species
CAGUCGAGCGGUAGAGAGGUGCUUGCACCUCUUGAGAGCGGCGGACGGGUGAGUAAUACCUAGGAAUCUGCCUGGUAGUGGGGGAUAACGUUCGGAAACGGACGCUAAUACCGCAUACGUCCUACGGGAGAAAGCAGGGGACCUUCGGGCCUUGCGCUAUCAGAUGAGCCUAGGUCGGAUUAGCUAGUUGGUGAGGUAAUGGCUCACCAAGGCUACGAUCCGUAACUGGUCUGAGAGGAUGAUCAGUCACACUGGAACUGAGACACGGUCCAGACUCCUACGGGAGGCAGCAGUGGGGAAUAUUGGACAAUGGGCGAAAGCCUGAUCCAGCCAUGCCGCGUGUGUGAAGAAGGUCUUCGGAUUGUAAAGCACUUUAAGUUGGGAGGAAGGGCAUUAACCUAAUACGUUAGUGUUUUGACGUUACCGACAGAAUAAGCACCGGCUAACUCUGUGCCAGCAGCCGCGGUAAUACAGAGGGUGCAAGCGUUAAUCGGAAUUACUGGGCGUAAAGCGCGCGUAGGUGGUUUGUUAAGUUGAAUGUGAAAUCCCCGGGCUCAACCUGGGAACUGCAUCCAAAACUGGCAAGCUAGAGUAUGGUAGAGGGUGGUGGAAUUUCCUGUGUAGCGGUGAAAUGCGUAGAUAUAGGAAGGAACACCAGUGGCGAAGGCGACCACCUGGACUGAUACUGACACUGAGGU